CAGCAGCAACGGUAAUACAGAGGGUGCAAGCGUUAAUCGGAUUUACUGGGCGUAAAGGGCGCGUAGGUGGUUAUGUAAGUGAGAUGUGAAAUCCCCGGGCUCAACCUGGGAACUGCAUCUUAUACUGCGUAGCUGGAGUGCGGUAGAGGGUAGUGGAAUUUCCGGUGUAGCGGUGAAAUGCGUAGAUAUCGGAAGGAACACCAGUGGCGAAGGCGGCUACCUGGACUGACACUGACACUGAGGCGCGAAAGCGUGGAGAGCAAUCGGGAUUAGAUACCCGUGUAGUCCCUGUCUCUUAUAC
rnacentral:rRNA from 1 species